rnacentral:rRNA from 1 species
UUUUNGAGUUUGAUCCUGGCUCAGGAUGAACGCUGGCGGUAUGCUUAACACAUGCAAGUCGAACGGUCUCUUCGGAGAUAGUGGCGGACGGGUGAGUAACGCGUGAGAAUCUGGCUUCAGGUCGGGGACAACCACGGGAAACUGUGGCUAAUACCGGAUAUGCCGAGAGGUGAAAGGCUUGCUGCCUGAAGAUGAGCUCGCGUCUGAUUAGCUAGUAGGUGUGGUAAAAGCGCACCUAGGCGACGAUCAGUAGCUGGUCUGAGAGGAUGAUCAGCCACACUGGGACUGAGACACGGCCCAGACUCCUACGGGAGGCAGCAGUGGGGAAUUUUCCGCAAUGGGCGAAAGCCUGACGGAGCAAUACCGCGUGAGGGAGGAAGGCUCUUGGGUUGUAAACCUCUUUUCUCAGGGAAGAAAAAAAUGACGGUACUUGAGGAAUAAGCAUCGGCUAACUCCGUGCCAGCAGCCGCGGUAAUACGGAGGAUGCAAGCGUUAUCCGGAAUGAUUGGGCGUAAAGGGUCCGCAGGUGGCUAUGUAAGUCUGCUGUUAAAGAACCUAGCUUAACUAGGUAAAAGCAGUGGAAACUACAAGGCUAGAGUGCGUUCGGGGUAGAGGGAAUUCCUGGUGUAGCGGUGAAAUGCGUAGAUAUCAGGAAGAACACCAGUGGCGAAGGCGCUCUACUAGGCCGCAACUGACACUGAGGGACGAAAGCUAGGGGAGCGAAUGGGAUUAGAUACCCCAGUAGUCCUAGCCGUAAACGAUGGAUACUAGGCGUGGCUNGUAUCGACCCGAGCCNNNGCCGAAGCAAAAAA